UUGAUUGCAAGAUCGAGCUGCGGGCAGUGAAUUGACCUCUUGGCUGACGAUGAUGAUGAUGUUGAAGAUGGCAUCAAGGGCUGUCUCAGGAGCAACUGAAGCACCACCGUACUGAACAGCCAAUCAGAGUGAUUUCCCCCAACGACGAGCUCUGCAGCCAAUUCAACACGCUGAAUCGGCUGAGAAGCCUUCGACAUGGGCAGAUUAGAGCAGACGGCGCGGGACACACCGAAAAAACUAAGCUGACAGACGCUCACCUUGAUGUGUCAGAGCCUUAAGAGUCUUGAAUGGAGCCUGGAGAAAACAUUUUGCUUGGGUUUACCCUUCUAGCCUGAGGUUUGGGAGACGUGCUGUUCUGCCCGACCGCAGUGUGUUUACAAGCCACAGUCAGCCAAAAUCUACUCAGUAUGGGAGAAAUGACUCAAUCCUCAUUGUGAGUCAUUCCUGCCUGCAGGAGGAAAUGUGAUCGAGUCACCACGGCAACUGAACCCAGGGAUGCACACAGGUUUCAUAAAUUAAAGUCAAGGGGUUAUAUGAAAGGAAUCCUUCAAUGUUUGAUUAGCAAUGUGUCAGAAACAUGAAGUAUAAUCCGCCACAUACUUCAGGCAUCUCACAAUGUCAAAGUAAUUGUAUAAUUGAAGAAUAUGAACAGCAAAUGCCACACAGUGCUGUGAGUUUGAACAUUUUGAGUGAAAUUCUGUCUCCAACCAAAUGUCUGAUUCAUCUAACUGUAAUUUCAACCGUUCAAAUUGUGUGUAAGUGAGUGAAUCAAAUGGCUCGUGUAUCCUUUUAAGCAUAUAUGAAACUGCUAUAAGAACAAUUUAGAGAUUUAGCAGCCGUCUGAGCAAUGAAAAGACAAAAUACCUGUGCUGAACGUGGGCAUAGCAUCUCAGUUUAGAUGGUGAGAUGCUCCCUCACCAGAGGUCUUAUUGUCCCGUCCUACCUGAUAUAUUCUCCCUAACCUCAGCUUCCCCGAGCAUGAAAUCAUUCGGGCAGAAUGAUAGGAUGUUUGGCUGUGGAGCAGUAGUGUGAUUUGUUUCUGUGCAGAUAAAUACAGCCUUGACUGUUGUCUCUGUAAUUGAGAACACUUUUCUAUUUCAAUUUCAAAGGGUGCGAGGCAGAAAAAUAAUCACACGGGGCGCAAAACCGGAUCAGCAAUUCGCCUAAUUGCCUUGGAUAUCUUCGUUGCCAGUCUUAAAGAUAUGGAAAAAGAUUUUUGUUUUGAUACUGCUCUGCCAUCACAAACAAAUUAUACCUUUUUUGGUGCAUUUAGAAAUAUAGUUUCACAAUCACAACAGGGAAGAAACAAAGAUAGAAACACUAAUACAAAGUUAAAGUCAUCAAGGCUAAAGCUGCAAAACAGUUUGAACAGCUGUUUUGUCAACGUCUUGCUGUGCUAAGUCUUUGUUCACGCAACAUUUAGGUUAUAAUUUCACAAUGUUUUAUGUUUUUAACCGGCUUUCUCAAAAACACCUCAUUUAAAAACUUUGAGUAACACAUGUAACGUUAGUGAAAUGAGAGAUAACCCAUGAAGAUAACUUAGCAGAAUGGCUAAUGUUGCACUGGUGACCCACCUAUUUUAUUCGCUAUGUAACAUUAUACAGAUCUUGAAAUUCUCAAUUGGCUGUUAGUUAGAAGGUUAAUGAAUUGGCUAGCUAAUAGUUAGCCUUAACUGACAUUUGACACAUAGCUUGUGUUGAAAUGCUCAUGAUAAAGAAACAGA